GUCAAAUAGGUGCGGUAAAACAUCGAAUAUAUUCUUCACAUGUGCGCACGUUUACUAUUUUUCUGUUGCGGUAGUGGAGUGAUUGUUGUUGAUCCUGCUUUGAAAAUAGUUAAAGCCGUUAAAGCACUUUAAGUUUGUUUUCUGGAUGUGUGAUCAGUGAUAAAUUGUUAUUAUUGUUACUAUCAUUAUUCGGCUUUCGAUCCGAUCUACAGCAUCCAGUAACAUGGUCUACAUCGAGCCAUCUUUUCCGCGUGGUCGCAAAGCUGAAGACAGCGAGGAUAAUAAACCACGAAAGCGCUUAAAGAAGAAUGCGGAUUACGGUGCAUCUACGACAACCGAGGAGAGAUCACAGAAACCUCGCCAAAAGGAACGACAACAGUCACGCAUAGAGCAAAUGGAACAAGAUAAAGACGAUCUCGAACAGAGUAUCAAAGCUGCUAACCUGCACUUCAGAACGGCUUGCGAGGGAAUGCUUGUGUUCGGCUGUGUGUACAAGAUACAACAGAUGGAAUUGAUAAUUUCGCUACCGGGAAGGCUUUUUGGUUCGGUACCAUUACGUUCGAUUUCGAAUGCUUAUUCUAACAGGCUUCAAAGUCUGCUGCAUAGUAGCACUACCACCGGCGAGGAACGUUGUCCUGGUCUGGGUGAACUUUAUUCAGUCGGUGAUUUGGUAUAUGUCAAAAUCAAAACCAAAAAUGAAAAGGAUAGAAAGCUAGAACUGACGCUGGAUCCAAGCGAAUUGCACAGUGAAUUCAAUCACAAACAUCUGGUUGAGGGACUGAUUUUGAGUGCAACUAUCGAAGAGGAAGAAGAUCAUGGAUAUCAAAUGGAUGUCGGUAUGAAAAAUGUUCGAGCCUUCCUUCCCGCGCAGAGCUUGAAUAAGAAUAAGACCGAGGUAGGAUCCAAUAUUUACUGUGCCGUUGAGAAGAUCACCAAGGCAAAGGGUUGCGCGACAAUAAUUUUGAGGGCUUUCAAACCAACGGAGCCAAGAAAGUUGGAAAUAGCUAAACCUAAUAUAGAUGCACUCGUUCCCGGCUCGGUCGUCACAUUUUCGGUGGAAUCUACUUUGAAAAACGGCUUGCAAGGUACCUUGUUUGAUGAUACCGUUCCGGCUUUCGUCAAUGAAAACAUGUUGGAGAGACCACUUUCGAAACUGCAAAAUUACGAAUCCAAACUACUGCAAGCUCGCAUUUUGUACGUAAUGCCAAUGACCAAACAUGUUUUCCUGACUUUGGCCAAUUAUGACGGAAACAAAGCUACCGUUGGCGAUCCCGUGGCUCCCGGUACCAUUGUGGAGGAUGCGAAAAUUAUUCACAAAUGUUCGAAUGGUAUUUGGUUCCAGCUUGGCAAGAAGCACAAAGGUCUGCUACCGAGGUAUAUAUUGAAGGAAAAGUACAGCCAGAAUUACGAUGAACAAAUUGUAAUGGCUAAGUAUCAGCUAAAUUCCGUGCACAAGGUGCGCGCGAUACGGUUCGAUGCUUUCGACCGAACCACGAUUGUUACCGACGAAGAGAAAUUGAUUGAGAGUAAAUUUUUCACCUUAAACGACGUCAAGGUGGGAGAAAUGUACGACUGCCGCGUCACUAGUAUCUUGAGCAGUAAUCGAGGCUAUCUCGUAAAGUUGGAUCAAAUAAAGGGACUAGUUUCUUCCCAUAACUUUGGCCAGCAUAAAUCUGUGGCGGUUAAUCAAACCGUACGGCUCCGACUAAUAGCCAUCGAUGAAGAUCGUAAAAUGGCCCAAUUUUCCAACCAUCCAGAGUACCUUAAAAAGUCCGUCAAAUUAAUUACCAGCCGGGAACACAUUGAAGUCGGUCAAAGCUACCACGGCACAGUCAUUUCCGAAAAGGAUAAGUUCUUUGUAGUGGCAUUCUGUAACAAGAUCACGGGUAUUCUGUUUAAAUUCUGCCGUGACGUAGCGCAAGAUCAAGACAAAAUAGCGCGUUUGAAACUAGGUGUAGUUGACCGGUUCACCGUGCAUAAUAUGUCGGAAGAUGGAGAAAGAAUAACAAUUUCGAUACCACUGACUGCGGGUAGUACAAAUUUGGGUCACACCGCCACAGCUACCAUUACCGGAGUGUUCGCUACCGGAGCGGAUGUUUACCUAGUCAAAGAGAACGAAACGGGCACGCUUCCGACGGACAUGUUUUCUGACUUUCCCGAGCACAACGCUGUGUUCGUGAAUGUUGUGAAGGAGGGCGAGCAGUUGCCGGUGGUCAAUCUGAGAGAGAAUGUUUUCAGCCGCCGGGAUGUCGAGUACUUCAAACGGAGGCCGACCCUCGUGAAAGACGUCAAGUGUGGACACAUAUUGAGAGCUUACUGCGUCGGAUCGGAGAAAGGCAAAUUUUCACUCCAGCUCGCGUUGAAAGAUUACCCGACCAGGGUGGUGCUUCCGUUGGCGAUGGUUUCCGCCCGCAAGAGCUUGCUGACGCUCGACGAUGGACAGGUGAUUCUGGUGAAGGUGACGAAGCUCGUCCAAAAACCGACCGGAGUGCUCUUGAUUGUGUCUCCCAAAAUGCAAGAUGUGUGCGUUCACGGAGUGGAUGAGGUGCUGCGAUAUGUGCAACGCUAUGUCACAGAGGUUAACGGACUUAUUAGAAGAUUCAUAUCCCGUGGGAAAUCUUUCGCGCAAUACACCGUUGGCCAGACGGUGAUGUGUGAGGUGGACAGCUUAGUCGAUGAUAGCGACCAAAUGAUUGUGCGGCUCUGCCAAUCUGGUAGCGAUUUUGACGGCGAACAAACGAAGGCAAUUGCUGCGAAGGACCCGAAAAAAGAUGAUUACGCCGUUGGCGAUGAACUGCUGGGACGGAUCGUUUGGGUGGACAUCGAGAAGCAGUUGGUGCAUGUUUGCGUCGUGAAAAAACUUCUCAAGAAUAUAAUCAACGGUGAUCUGAAAGCCGACAUACCGUCGGAACUAUUCGACGUUGAUGUGAAGCGCGAUUUCGUUAUACUAUUCAGCAAUAGGUACAUAGCUAUCGGCUGCUUGCGGAAAGUGGAUUGUCCACUUGUGGCUGUACCUGUGAAAUGUCACUAUAAUGACUUUGACCCGAUCGAUGUACAGCAGACGGCGAAAGUAGUGUUGAUAAGACAACACGAGGAACUUGUCUACGGAAUGUUCGAGGAAAGUUACGACAAAUUCAAAGAAUUGAAGUUUGUGAAGAAGGAUGAGUCAGAGAUCAAAAAAGGUAAAAAUUGUUGGUUGCCGGAUAAUUUCGAGGAGCCAGAAGACGAAAUAGGUUCAGAGGAGGAACCACAAGAAUCUUCUGAUGCAAAUGAGGAAAACGAUAGCGAAGGAAACGAACAAAGCGAUUCUGGAAUUGAUAAAGAUGAUGAAAAACCACCCAAAAAGGCCAAGAAGAAGCAAAAGAAAUUAAUUGAGGUCGAAAAAAUUGCUGCUGCAUUGCCAGAAAAAAAUCUCAAAGAUAAGAAACAAAAGAAGAAAGCAAUGACGAUGAAGCUCGAGGAUUCGAAUUCUACCGAUAAAACAACGGAAGAAAUUCAGUCUCCAGUGAACACAACCAAGAAGUCUAAGAAAAAGCAAAAGGGAAAAGCCUCCAAAGAGCCAAAAGUUCCAAAGCUCACUGGAACAAAUGCGGUUGCAUCGCCCGGAAAAGCAUUAAAGGUCAAGCAGAAGAAGAAGAAAGCAGUGGAGAAAAAACUUAAAGGUGCGAAGUCUUUCGUUAUCAGUCAAUUGGACGGGGCGGAUGAUUUUGUCGCGCUGAAGAAAAAAGGAAAAAACAAGCAACGGAAACAUUUUUUAUCCGAGCGCCCGACUGCCAAAGCUCCUGAUUUGGUAGGGAGCAAGCAGUCGGGUUGCGGAAAAGGUGCACACGAGCAUACUAAUAAGUUUGAGAAAAAAGACACGCUUCAACAGGUUGCCAAGCAAACAAAGUUCAAGUCCAAACCGAAUAAGAAAAUCAAAAUUGACGCAGAAAGUGCAAACGACGCUGUUCGAGAAUUGGCAAAAGAUUCAAAGACUCGCCAUAAGGAUGUGGCACUCCCAGGGGCGGAAAGUUUCUGGUCUGUCGCCACUUCAGCCCAGAUCCGGAAGCAGGAGUCUGAUUCCAGUGACGAUGAUGAUCAACCAGAAGAGUCGGUGAAAAAGCGCCUUACAGCCAAGGAACGGUUCGAUGCCAUGAAACAAGAGGAGGAGCGAAUUCGGAAAAUUGAAGAGGAAUUAGCGGACGCUUCGGUCGAUCCGCAUACCCCUGAUCAGUUCGAUCGAUUAGUAUUGGCUCAGCCAAACAGUAGUCUACUGUGGAUUCGCUACAUGGUGUUCCACAUGGAAUCGGCUGAAAUUGAGAAGGCCCGUGGUGUUGCUCGACGUGCAUUGAAAACUAUCAACUACCGAGAGGAAGCGGAAAGAUUGAACGUUUGGAUCGCUCUGCUCAAUCUUGAGCUACGGUACGAAACGAUAGAGAAAUUCAAAGAAGUAUUGCUCGAAGCAAUCCAGUGUAACGACGAUUACAAAGUUUACUCACGAGUUAUCGAGAUUUUAAUCGAUUGCGGAAAGGUGCCAGAAGUUCUAGAAAUGAUCGAAACAUUGCAGAAAAAAUUCCGCAAGCAACCGGAAAUGUGGCUUCUGGUUGCCACCUGUUAUUACAAAAUAGGACAUCGAUCGAACGUGAAGCCACUGCUGAGUAAGGCACUAAAAUCAUUGGAGAACAAGGAACACAUCCCACUGAUUUUGAAGUUCGCCUUUUUGCACAACCGAAACGACGAGCGCGAUGAGGCACACAUCCUUUUCGAGCAGAUACUGUCCUCCUACCCGAAGAGAACCGAUGUUUGGUCUCAAUACGUAGACCUGCUGGUGAAGGAUGGUUUGCUGGACGCCGCCCGUCAAACGUUGGAUCGAGCCAUCGUCCAACGAUUGCCAAUGAGAAACAUGAAAACCUUGUACACCAAGUAUGUUAACUUCGAAGAGAAGCAUGGCGACCGGGAAUCGGUAAGGAAGAUAAAGCAGAUGGCAGCGGAUUACGUCAAGCAGCAGCUUAGUGCCAAUGGCGUCGCAGCAAAUUCGGCCGCCGUUAAUGAUGAAUAAAUCGAGAGGUUAAUCAAGAGUAGUCCUUAGUAUACGCCAAAUAAAUUAGCAAAUUUAAUACAGAUAUCUAAAUCCACCGUUGAUGAACAUCUGGUGAUCCGUUGGCUACCCUGCCCGUGAGUGCAAGAGCGAGAUGAAUGGAGUAACAGCAUAACAACGAACAGCACCCGAGCGUGCCGAUCAAAGCCGACAGGACAAACACCCCACCAACUUUCCGACAAAAGCAAAAGGAGCGCAGAA